rnacentral:rRNA from 1 species
GACAGAGGCCUCAAGCGUUAGGCGGAAUCACUGGGCUUAAAGCGUGUGUAGGCGGAUCGUUAAGUGUCUUGUGAAAUCCCACGGCUCACCCGUGGAACUGCUGGGCAUACUGGCGAUCUUGGGCCAACUAGGGGCAACUGGAACAAGCGGUGGAGCGGUGAAAUGCGUAGAUAUCUGGAGGAACACCGGUGGCGAAGGCGGCAUCCUGGACCGGCAUUGACGCUGAGGCGCGAAAGCUAGGGGAGCAAACGGG